rnacentral:lncRNA from 1 species
AUGAAAGUUUUGAAUUCUUGUGACCUGUAUUUCCACAGUCCGGCCCGUGAGCACAUGUCCACCCCUCCCCCUCAGAGGAAUGGUUCGGUCCAUCUGGCAGUAGGAACCCCACACACUCAGGGUGUGUCCAGGAGUCCCCACAUGGUCCGCAGAGGCACCAAGAAGCAGGCCCCGGCUCCCCCCAAGCAGGCCAGCCCCUUUGCCUCCCAGACACCCGGCUCCCCUCACCACCCACCCAUCACUCCCCGCCGUAACCCCAGCAAAGAAGCUCUGAUACACGUACCCAGCCACCCGCCUCCCCAGCCUCCUCAGAACCACCAGGGCGAAUCAGAGCACUCCCCUCCCAGCAGCCCCACCCCUCCAGACACUCCGCCCCAUGAUGGAAACCCCUUUAGCCCGAUGUCUUACCACACGGGUUCCCUCCCUCGCCCUGCCCGACCGGCUCCCAGGCCUCGACCCCGACCCAGCAUGCCGCCCCCUCCCCAGCCUGCUGUCAAUGAUGCUGGAAAUGGACUUUUUAGCUCCUCCUCCAAGAUUAUAACAGAUGGAGGUCUGGUUCUGAAGGCGAUCGGACGAGCCUACAUCCCUGAGGUGAUAAUGGACCAGCAAACUCCUGAUAGCACAUCCACGUCUGCAUCUGCGUCUGCUCCAGUCCCUGAAUUCAGUCCAAAGAUAGAGAACACGGCUCUGUAAGGAACCAGGUGGUUGUCUGACAGGAUUAAAUACUCCCAACGUUCCUUCAACUCUAGGUGUUGGUCUGCUGCAUGACACUUUACAUUCCAUCUGCAGCUGGACUCACUGAGUACUGAAACCAGUUCAUGCUGUUGGCAGAUGUGAACGAGUAAAAGCAAUAAGUAUUUCCUUAGCUGAGUUAAAAAUGGUGAUUCAAAAGCAAUGCAAAUGAUGACUUUUAGCUUGAAAUAAUACUGAAUAAUGGCAAUUUUUCACAUUUCACAGUAAAUGUGAUUUCUGUUUAUAAAGGUGUGUUAUUAUCACACGUGCGUACAGGGUUAUAUAAAGGACCAAAGAUCGACCCAAGGAUAUUAAACUCCAAAGUAUCCUAAUCUGUUGGAAAGGUUAGAUUCAAGUCAUGCAGCGAAGGACCAAAUAUAUUUGAAAGGGCCUGUGUGCGUGGGUGCGCACGUGCAUGUGUGUAUGUCGGUGAUUUCCGCUGAAAAAUGUAUUUGAAGUUCGGAGAUGUGCUUGUAUUGUGAAAGUAAUGGAUUUUAAAUGGUGUAAAUAAUCACUCCCUCUCAAAGCUGAGACCAAAACACAACCAAAGAAAUGAAAUUUUGUGUCUGAUUUAUUUUUUCACUGUGCUUCACACUUCUGUCCUUUUAGGGUACCUCUCUGAUUGUUUCAUUGUAUUUUAAUAUAUUUUCCUGGUGGUUUUCUGCACGUUUCCUCCUAUAUUGUAACACUUAUUUUAAUAAAAUAAAGAUUGUGUACUUCUUCCA